GAUGAACGCUGGCGGCGUGCCUAAUACAUGCAAGUCGAGCGAACGGACGAGAAGCUUGCUUCUCUGAUGUUAGCGGCGGACGGGUGAGUAACACGUGGAUAACCUACCUAUAAGACUGGGAUAACUUCGGGAAACCGGAGCUAAUACCGGAUGAUAUUUUGAACCGCAUGGUUCAAAAGUGAAAGACGGUCUUGCUGUCACUUAUAGAUGGAUCCGCGCUGCAUUAGCUAGUUGGUAAGGUAACGGCUUACCAAGGCAACGAUGCAUAGCCGACCUGAGAGGGUGAGCGGCCACACGAGAACUGAGACACGGUCCAGACUCCUAGGGGGGGAAGCAGGGGGGAAUCUCCCGAAAGGGGGAAAGGCCGGAGGGACCAACGCCGGGGGAGUGAGGAAGGUCUUCGGAUCGAAAAACUUUUUUAUGGGGGAAAAAAAUAGGUGAAAGAACCUGGGCACAUUUGGAGGCUACCUAAUAAGAAACCCCCGGCAACCUCCGUG
rnacentral:rRNA from 1 species